GACGAACGCUGGCGGCGUGCUUAACACAUGCAAGUCGAACGGAAAGGCCCCCUUGUGGGGUACUCGAGUGGCGAACGGGGGAGUAACACGUGAGUAACCUACCCUUGACUUUGGGAUAACUUCAGGAAACUGGGGCAAAUACGGCCUGGGAGCUCCUCCUGCUGGGGGGGGGUGGGAAGGUUUCGGCGGUUGGGGAUGGACUCGCGGCUUAUCAGCUUGUUGGUGGGGUAGGGGUGCACCAAGGCUUUGACGGGUAGCCGGCCUGAGAGGGUGACCGGCCACAUUGGGACUGAGAUACGGCCCAGACUCCUACGGGAGGCAGCAGUGGGGAAUAUUGCACAAUGGGCGGAAGCCUGAUGCAGCAACGCCGCGUGCGGGAUGACGGCCUUCGGGUUGUAAACCGCUUUCGCCUGUGACGAAGCGUGAGUGACGGUAAUGGGUAAAGAAGCACCGGCUAACUACGUG
rnacentral:rRNA from 1 species